rnacentral:rRNA from 1 species
AGGAUUCAGUCUGGAGUUGCCGUCGCGCUGGUCGGGGGCUUCCCCGGGGCCGUCCGACCGCGAAGGCCAGACGCAUUUGUCUCCCGCUCGAAGGACGCCGCAACCGGUCGGGCAGUGCAAACGUGACGGCCUGGAAGGCGGACGAUGGCAGGUGGCCGGUGGCCGUCUUAAAUGAUGGUCGCCGGUUGUUAGCCGGUCCGUCGGUGGCCCGUCGCCCGACCGAGGUAUCGAGAUGCCCUUUACGGGCGUCCGCGCCUCCUCCUCGUCGGGACGUGCCGUCGCGAGCGAAGGCAGCCGCGCGGCCGCACUCCGUCGGAGUGGGCCAGCGGCCGUCGGUGACGGAGGACCCGUUGGAGGUCGGAGGUUGGCGGCGAGUAGGUCGGUCACCCACCCGACCCGUCUUGAAACACGGACCAAGGAGUCUAACAUGUGCGCGAGUCAAUGGGUCUCGAAUAAGCCCAGAGGCGCAAUGAAAGCGAAGGUCGGCACCACGCCGUCCGAGUCGGGAUGGGCGCACCGACGACCCGUCCUACGCGGCUUGCCGCUUGGGCGGAGUGUGAGCGUACACGUUGGGACCCGAAAGAUGGUGAACUAUGCCC